rnacentral:rRNA from 1 species
AACGAACGCUGGCGGCAGGCUUAACACAUGCAAGUCGAACGCAUCCUUCGGGGUGAGUGGCAGACGGGAGAGUAACGCGUGGGAACGUGCCCUUCAGUUCGGGAUAACCCAGGGAAACUUGGGCUAAUACCGGAUACGUGCGAGAGCAGAAAGAUUUAUCGCUGAAGGAUCGGCCCGCGUCUGAUUAGUUAGUUGGUGGGGUAAUGGCCCACCAAGGCGACGAUCAGUAGCUGGUCUGAGAGGAUGAUCAGCCACAUUGGGACUGAGACACGGCCCGAACUCCUGCGGGAGGCAGCAGUGGGGAAUAUUGGACAAUGUGCGAAAGCCUGUUCCAGCCAUGCCGCGUGAGUGAGGAAGGCCUUAGGGUUGUAAAGCUCUUUCGUCCGGGACGAUAAUGACGGUACCGGAAGAAGAAGCCCCGGCUAACUUCGUGCCAGCAGCCGCCGUAA